rnacentral:pre_miRNA from 1 species
AGAGGGAUUGCUGGGUCAAAUGGUGGUUCCAUUCCCAAUUUUUCAAGAAAUCUCCAUACUGCUUUCCAUAUUGGUGCACCAAUUUGCACUCCCAUCAGCAGU